UUAUAAGAGACAGCAGUCGCCACGGUAAUACGGAGGGUGCAAGCGUUAAUCGGAAUUACUGGGCGUAAAGCGCACGCAGGCGGUUUGUUAAGUCAGAUGUGAAAUCCCCGGGCUCAACCUGGGAACUGCAUUUGAAACUGGCAAGCUAGAGUCUCGUAGAGGGGGGUAGAAUUCCAGGUGUAGCGGUGAAAUGCGUAGAGAUCUGGAGGAAUACCGGUGGCGAAGGCGGCCCCCUGGACGAAGACUGACGCUCAGGUGCGAAAGCGUGGGGAGCAAACAGGAUUAGAUACCCGCGUAGUCCCUGUCUCUUAUAC
rnacentral:rRNA from 1 species